GAUGAACGCUGGCGGCGUGCCUAACACAUGCAAGUCGAACGGAAAGGCCCUGCUUUUGCGGGGUUCUCGAGUGGCGAAAGGGUGAGUAAAACGUGAGUAACCUGCCCCUAACUUUGGGAUAACUCUAGGAAACUGGGGCGAUAACCCCAUAUGAUCUCUUGCUGCAUGGUGGGGGUUGGAAAGUUUCGGCGGUUGGGUAUGGACUCGCGGGAUAUCCGCUUGUUGGGGGGGUAGUGGCUUACCCAGGCUUCGACGGGUAGCCGGCCUGAGAGGGUGACCGGCCACAUAGGGCCUGGGGAGGGACCCAGAGGCCAACGGGAGGCAGGGGUGGAAACUAUUGCGCAAUAGGCGGAGGCCUGAUGCAACGUCGCCGGGUGCGGAAUGACUGCCUUCAGGUUAUAACCCACUUGCGCCUAUGACGGAGCGUGGGUGACGGUAAUGGGUAAAGAAGCACCGGCUAACUACGUG
rnacentral:rRNA from 1 species